CCCUUCGGGGUGUGACUGCGUACCUUUUGUAUAAUGGGUCAGCGACUUAUAUUCUGUAGCAAGGUUAACCGUAUAGGGGAGCCGGAGGGAAACCGAGUCUUAACCGGGCGUUAAGUUGCAGGGUAUAGACCCGAAACCCGGUGAUCUAGCCAUGGGCAGGUUGAAGGUUGGGUAACACUAACUGGAGGACCGAACCGACUAAUGUUGAAAAAUUAGCGGAUGACCUGUGGCUGGGGGUGAAAGGCCAAUCAAACCGGGAGAUAGCUGGUUCUCCCCGAAAGCUAUUUAGGUAGCGCCUCGUGAAUUCAUCUCCGGGGGUAGAGCACUGUUUCGGCUAGGGGGCCAUCCCGGCUUACCAACCCGAUGCAAACUGCGAAUACCGGAGAAUGUUAUCACGGGAGACACACGGCGGGUGCUAACGUCCGUCGUGAAGAGGGAAACAACCCAGACCGCCAGCUAAGGUCCCAAAGUCAUGGUUAAGUGGGAAACGAUGUGGGAAGGCCCAGACAGCCAGGAUGUUGGCUUAGAAGCAGCCAUCAUUUAAAGAAAGCGUAAUAGCUCACUGGUCGAGUCGGCCUGCGCGGAAGAUGUAACGGGGCUAAACCAUGCACCGAAGCUGCGGCAGCGAACGUAUCACCCAAGACAACUUUACGGAGUUGACGAUUGACGGAGCGAAGCGACGUCAAAGCGUUCAUUAAAGUCGAGUUGGCUUAGGGAUACGUUCGUUGGGUAGGGGAGCGUUCUGUAAGCCUGUGAAGGUGUGUCGUGAGGC
rnacentral:rRNA from 1 species